rnacentral:rRNA from 1 species
UGAGGAAUAUUGGACAAUGGAUGAAAAUCUGAUCCAGCCAUGCCGCGUGCAGGAAGGCGGCCCUAUGGGUUGUAAACUGCUUUUGUACGGGAGCAAUAAGGUCUACGAGUAGAUUGAUGAGAGUACUGUACGAAUAAGCAUCGGCUAACUCCGUGCCAGCAGCCGCGGUAAUACGGAGGAUGCGAGCGUUAUCCGGAUUUAUUGGGUUUAAAGGGUGCGUAGGCUGUUAUAUAAGUCAGUGGUAAAAGGUACAGGCUUAACUUGUAUAGGCCAUUGAAACUGUAUAGCUAGGAUAUGGAUGAAGUGUGCGGAAUGUGUGGUGUAGCGGUGAAAUGCAUAGAUAUCACACAGAACACCGAUAGCGAAGGCAGCACACUAAGGCAAUAUUGACGCUGAGGCA